GCUACAACUUUAAGGUUGCAAACCCAAGUGCAGGUUGUCGCAAGUAGUAAAUCUCGGAAGUCCGAGGUCGAACCACAGGGAAUUGGAAGGAAACAAACUAUUCUAUGAGUAGUGAACGAUUGGUGGAAAUACGAUUGAGACGAACACUAGAGCGUCGGGGAUUCACUUCGGAUAAAUGAGUAGAAAUUGCCCUUGAUCUUUAAUUUAACUCAUAUGAAAAUCAACUAAGGAGUGAUCUCAUAUGGAAGAUAAAACAUUGAUCACAAAUAUAUUGAAAGAUAGAUCUUGAUAAUUGUUUGAGAGAAUAUGUCAAAAUUAGUUGUUGGUAUGUAGAGAUUAUCUAAGCAUUUAUUGUGCCAAAAUUGUCAACAAUAAAUCAAAGUCUUUAACAAACCAAAACCAUUUGUAGAACACAAACUUCAACCAAGUAAGAAGAUGAACAUUGAAGAACAAAAUGAAAGAUCAAAGACAAUACUAAACAUUCAUCAAAGUUUCACCCUUAGCUCUAGCUAAAUGUUUAGAAAUACAUAGUGAAAUGUUACAAAGAAAAUGAAGGAAACUAGAAUAUGGUGGAGAGAAUUGAUGCUUCAAAAUCGUGGCCAAGGUCCCCUUUUAUAGGCAAAGGAACAUCCAAAAUUCAAGUAGGCAAUGCAACUUGUUUCUUUCCAGCUUCAAGACAGCUGGAACAUGUAACUUGAUGCCAAUUUUCAGAUACAUUGUGCAACGAAUUUGGACAUAUGAUCAACAGACGAAUUAUUACCACUUGAGUUAGCUUUCCAUUGGUUCAAAUAUCAGGUUCAUUGGAUCUAUAUAACUCCAGAUAUGGCAAAAACAAUAAAUGCUGCUUCACAGGUAAAGCUGUAUCCGGCAGGUAACAAGCUGGACUUUGCACGGUAAUUUUUGCUGCCUUUUGAUACGAAUUUGACUUC
rnacentral:lncRNA from 1 species